GACGAACGCUGGCGGCGUGCCUAAUACAUGCAAGUUGAGCGCUGAAGGUUGGUACUUGUACCAACUGGAUGAGCAGCGAACGGGUGAGUAACGCGUGGGGAAUCUGCCUUUGAGCGGGGGACAACAUUUGGAAACGAAUGCUAAUACCGCAUAAAAACUUUAAACACAAGUUUUAAGUUUGAAAGAUGCAAUUGCAUCACUCAAAGAUGAUCCCGCGUUGUAUUAGCUAGUUGGUGAGGUAAAGGCUCACCAAGGCGAUGAUACAUAGCCGACCUGAGAGGGUGAUCGGCCACAAUGGGACUGAGACACGGCCCAAACUCCUAAGGGAGGCAGCAGUAGGGAAUCUUCGGCAAUGGACGAAAGUCUGACCGAGCAACGCCGCGUGAGUGAAGAAGGUUUUCGGAUCGUAAAACUCUGUUGGUAGAGAAGAACGUUGGUGAGAGUGGAAAGCUCAUCAAGUGACGGUAACUACCCAGAAAGGGACGGCUAACUACGUG
rnacentral:rRNA from 1 species